rnacentral:rRNA from 1 species
GACGAACGCUGGCGGCGUGCUUAACACAUGCAAGUCGAACGGAAAGGCCCUGCUUUUGUGGGGGGCUCGAGUGGCGAACGGGUGAGUAACACGUGAGUAACCUGCCCUUGACUUUGGGAUAACUUCAGGAAACGGGGGCUAAUACCGGAUAGGAGCUCCUGCUGCAUGGUGGGGGUUGGAAAGUUUCGGCGGUUGGGGAUGGACUCGCGGCGUAUCAGCUUGUUGGUGGGGUAGUGGCUUACCAAGGCUUUGACGGGUAGCCGGCCUGAGAGGGUGACCGGCCACAUUGGGACUGAGAUACGGCCCAGACUCCUACGGGAGGCAGCAGUGGGGAAUAUUGUAAAAUGGGCGGAAGCCUGAUGCAGCAACGCCGCGUGCGGGAUGACGGCCUUCGGGUUGUAAACCGCUUUCGCCUGUGACGAAGCGUGAGUGACGGUAAUGGGUAAAGAAGCACCGGCUAACUACGUG